GACGAACGCUGGCGGCGUGCUUAACACAUGCAAGUCGAACGGAAAGGCCCUGCUUUUGUUGGGUGCUCGAGUGGCGAACGGGUGAGUAACACGUGAGUAACCUGCCCUUGACUUUGGGAUAACUUCAGGAAACUGGGGCUAAUACCGGCUAGGAGCUCCUGCUGCAUGGUGGGGGUUGGAAAGUUUCGGCGGUUGGGGCUGGACUCGCGGCUUAUCAGCUUGUUGGUGGGGUAGUGGCUUACCAAGGCUUUGACGGGUAGCCGGCCUGAGAGGGUGACCGGCCACAUUGGGACUGAGAUACGGCCCAGACUCCUACGGGAGGCAGCAGUGGGGAAUAUUGCACAAUGGGCGGAAGCCUGAUGCAGCAACGCCGCGUGCGGGAUGACGGCCUUCGGGUUGUAACCCGCUUUCGAAUGUGACGAAGCGUGAGUGACGGUAAUGGGUAUAGAAGCACCGGCUAACUACGUG
rnacentral:rRNA from 1 species